ensembl:lncRNA
AAUGACUUGUAGUUGUGCUUCCUGAUUGGCGAGUAUUGAUUGAUGUGGAGUGUGCUCAUGAUGUGGGUGUGUGCAUGGUUGAUGGGAGGCGCUCGAGCUCACAGGGAGUUCACAGCUGCAGAUGCCACCGAUCACACAGUUGGAUAUUUACCAGUACAGACAGUAUCUCCACUUUUAAGAUGACAGCUCAUUUAAAGCUCCCUGUGAAUAAUCAGGACGGUAUCGAGCUUGAGAGAACAGAGGACCAUGAGUCUGACGGCAGCAUCCCUAAGCCAGUCAUGGAUAAUCCACCUCGGAAGAUGGCGGGCAAGCUGGUCAGCGGGGCGUGCAGGCUGAGCACCAUAUCGGAGAAAGAACCGGAAAAGCCGGACACCGAUCCCACUCCCCGUGAUCCCCUGGGUGGCAGCGAAUGGGCUGGAUCAAGCUUCUCCGUUGGUUCUGACAAGUUGAAGAGCAGCAGCAGUGAUUUUUCCUCGGACGACUCGUGCCAGACUGGCGGUGGCGAUGCGUGUGCAGCACUUCUUCUCGCCUGCCUGCAUUGUCGCUUUCACGAAUUCAUGCUUCUGCUAUUGGAUGCGUGUGAGCUGGCCGUGGGUCGCUGCUUUCCCUCGUACAAAUACAUCACGGCCGCCAGCGACCAGCAGGGAAACGACUGCUGCAACUACAACCUGGAGAUGGAUUGCAACUGCUGCGGCUCCUGUCAGGACGCAGGAGAACUCAUCGAGCUGGCCAUGGAGAUGUCAGAGGUCUGCUAUCGCUGAGAGCCUCCUCACCUGUGGGCCCUGCAAGUACAAUGGAAAAAAAGUAAAAAAUCACAAACGUUGUGAAUGUGAAAACCUUGAAUGCUAAACGAAAUUCCCCCAACUGUCUCCUCUCGGUCAAAUCGAUGCCCGGAUUACUUUUCGCAGUGGGUUUGUGCGUGCGGGCCCUCAAGCAGGUACCCGCCGCCACCCCGAUGAAACGCUGCAGAGCCGCUUGUCGCAAGGAAAGAUGGACACGGUCCUUUUGGUGGUUAAAGCCCCACCUCGGCCCGCCGAGGAAGGCCGCCGAAUGCCAACAUCCUGUCUUUUUCGGAGCGGAAAGGGAGGGCAGGUCGGUGUGUUUGUGGAGCCAUGUCCACAUCCGCUCCGCUGACAUCCUGUACGUUUCCGGUGUCUCCCCAUACAGCAUGAACGAGGGAGACGUGCACCACGCCGGGGACGUGGGAGCAUGCUUUCAAAAAGACACCUCCGACCAUUCAAGUGAUCACAGCAUGUAAUCUACAACCAAGGGAACUUAUCAGAUGGUAAAAUGUGAAUGGAAAUGAAUUAUAUUAUGCAUCAAAACG